rnacentral:rRNA from 1 species
UUAAGCGACUAAGCGUACACGGUGGAUGCCCUGGCAGUCAGAGGCGAUGAAGGACGUGCUAAUCUGCGAUAAGCGUCGGUAAGGUGAUAUGAACCGUUAUAACCGGCGAUUUCCGAAUGGGGAAACCCAGUGUGAUUCGUCACACUAUCGUUAAGUGAAUACAUAGCUUAACGAAGCGAACCGGGGGAACUGAAACAUCUAAGUACCCCGAGGAAAAGAAAUCAACCGAGAUUCCCCCAGUAGCGGCGAGCGAACGGGGAGGAGCCCAGAGUCUGAAUCAGCGCGUGUGUUAGUGGAACGGUCUGGAAAGUCCGGCGGUACAGGGUGAUAGCCCCGUACACUAAAAUGCACACGUUGUGAACUCGAAGAGUAGGGCGGGACACGUGGUAUCCUGUCUGAAUAUGGGGGGACCAUCCUCCAAGGCUAAAUACUCCUGACUGACCGAUAGUGAACCAGUACCGUGAGGGAAAGGCGAAAAGAACCCCGGCGAGGGGAGUGAAAAAGAACCUGAAACCGUGUACGUACAAGCAGUGGGAGCCUACUUGUUAGGUGACUGCGUACCUUUUGUAUAAUGGGUCAGCGACUUAUAUUCUGUAGCAAGGUUAACCGUAUAGGGGAGCCGCAGGGAAACCGAGUCUUAACUGGGCGUUAAGUUGCAGGGUAUAGACCCGAAACCCGGUGAUCUAGCCAUGGGCAGGUUGAAGGUUGGGUAACACUAACUGGAGGACCGAACCGACUAAUGUUGAAAAAUUAGCGGAUGACUUGUGGCUGGGGGUGAAAGGCCAAUCAAACCGGGAGAUAGCUGGUUCUCCCCGAAAGCUAUUUAGGUAGCGCCUCGUGAACUCAUCUUCGGGGGUAGAGCACUGUUUCGGCUAGGGGGUCAUCCCGACUUACCAACCCGAUGCAAACUACGAAUACCGAAGAAUGUUAUCACGGGAGACACACGGCGGGUGCUAACGUCCGUCGUGAAGAGGGAAACAACCCAGACCGCCAGCUAAGGUCCCAAAGUCAUGGUUAAGUGGGAAACGAUGUGGGAAGGCACAGACAGCCAGGAUGUUGGCUUAGAAGCAGCCAUCAUUUAAAGAAAGCGUAAUAGCUCACUGGUCGAGUCGGCCUGCGCGGAAGAUGUAACGGGGCUAAACCAUGCACCGAAGCUGCGGCAGCGACACUAUGUGUUGUUGGGUAGGGGAGCGUUCUGUAAGCCGUUGAAGGUGGCCUGUGAGGGUUGCUGGAGGUAUCAGAAGUGCGAAUGCUGACAUAAGUAACGAUAAAGCGGGUGAAAAGCCCGCUCGCCGGAAGACCAAGGGUUCCUGUCCAACGUUAAUCGGGGCAGGGUGAGUCGACCCCUAAGGCGAGGCCGAAAGGCGUAGUCGAUGGGAAACAGGUUAAUAUUCCUGUACUCGGUGUUACUGCGAAGGGGGGACGGAGAAGGCUAUGUUAGCCGGGCGACGGUUGUCCCGGUUUAAGCAUGUAGGCGGGAAGUUUAGGUAAAUCCGGACUUCUUUUAACGCUGAGGUGUGAUGACGAGGCACUACGGUGCUGAAGUAACAAAUGCCCUGCUUCCAGGAAAAGCCUCUAAGCAUCAGGUAACAACGAAUCGUACCCCAAACCGACACAGGUGGUCAGGUAGAGAAUACCAAGGCGCUUGAGAGAACUCGGGUGAAGGAACUAGGCAAAAUGGUGCCGUAACUUCGGGAGAAGGCACGCUGAUGGUAGGUGAAGUGACUUGCUCAUGGAGCUGAAAUCAGUCGAAGAUACCAGCUGGCUGCAACUGUUUAUUAAAAACACAGCACUGUGCAAACACGAAAGUGGACGUAUACGGUGUGACGCCUGCCCGGUGCCGGAAGGUUAAUUGAUGGGGUUAUCCGUAAGGAGAAGCUCUUGAUCGAAGCCCCGGUAAACGGCGGCCGUAACUAUAACGGUCCUAAGGUAGCGAAAUUCCUUGUCGGGU